GGGUGAUCCUUAGCUUUCACCCAAUAAGGAUAUGUCAGUUCUUGUCGAGGAUGAUGAGGACUAUCACUCCCUGCUUGAUGUUGAGGUACUAAAAUUGAAGGAGUUGGCGACCAAGCAGGCAUUGUAUGACACCGACAUCAGUUGGCGUUACCUUAGGGUAUAACUGAUUUUUUUUGACUUGGAUUUCAUACUAACAAUCUCUAUUUGGUUUUGUAGUGAUGUGGCCAUCAUUGGAGUCCAUAAAGUUGGCCCUGAAGACAAGAUUGGGCUCCUCAGGUGGGGAGCCUUCACCUAAGAAGUAGAAGAAGUUGAGGCCAAUGACUUCUUUCC
rnacentral:lncRNA from 1 species